CUCAUGCUCAUUCCUCUUUCGUCUGUGCUCUCUUCCUCGAGAGGUGUUUACUGAAGCUUUUGAUCGGCCAUUUACAAAAAUGUACAAAGUCACUUGCGCUAUCCCUGGCUUUUCAGUCAUGCUUUCUGAUGUAGAAGUGUUUGAAAUGUACCACCAGAGGGCCAUGAACAGGGGAUGUGCUGCACCAGUGUUUAGGUCAUUGGGUCAUGUUCUGCACCAGUGUUUGGUGUAAGAUCAUGCCUGGUUGAAGAUGGAAGUACAGGUCAUGUAACAUUUAAGGACUGAAGAAAUUUCCCAGAUGUAGGUACUUGACAAUACAAUGUAGACGCGUGAUCUCAGUUUAUGCUGCAGUAUGGAUUCUACAAGAGCAGAAGUGACUUCAGCACAGAAUUAAGGUUCUGCUGUUUUAGACUGGGAAAACUGCAGUGCACGAACCAUGCUAGAUUAAGGCAAGUGACUGCUCAUGGAUCCUAUAGGGCAUAACUUGCAGAAGAUGCUGGAAACGUUAAGUUGCUUGGCUCUACUGAAGAAACUCCUGAAGGCUCAUAAAGCUGUCCAUUUCUAAGGCAUUAUACUUUAUGAGAAAGUGAGUUGAUAUCCAGUGCGUGUGAAGAUCCAAUACUAGUUCCUGUGGAGCAGAUGCAUAGAACUACCUGACACGACUUGUUGCUGAAAAACCUUGUUCUGAAACAUUAAAUAAAAUAUUUGACUUCUGAAACGGUUA